AUUGAACGCUGGCGGCAGGCCUAACACAUGCAAGUCGAGCGGAUGAAGGGAGCUUGCUCCUGGAUUCAGCGGCGGACGGGUGAGUAAUGCCUAGGAAUCUGCCUGGUAGUGGGGGAUAACGUCCGGAAACGGGCGCUAAUACCGCAUACGUCCUGAGGGAGAAAGUGGGGGAUCUUCGGACCUCACGCUAUCAGAUGAGCCUAGGUCGGAUUAGCUAGUUGGUGGGGUAGAGGCCUACCAAGGCGACGAUCCGUAACUGGUCUGAGAGGAUGAUCAGUCACACUGGAACUGAGACACGGUCCAGACUCCUACGGGAGGCAGCAGUGGGGAAUAUUGGACAAUGGGCGAAAGCCUGAUCCAGCCAUGCCGCGUGUGGGAAGAAGGUCUUCGGAUUGUAAAGCACUUUAAGUUGGGAGGAAGGGCAGUAAGUUAAUACCUUGCUGUUUUGACGUUACCAACAGAAUAAGCACCGGCUAACUUCGUG
rnacentral:rRNA from 1 species